rnacentral:rRNA from 1 species
UACAGAGGUGGCAAGCGUUGUUCGGAAUUACUGGGCGUAAAGGGCGCGUAGGCGGUCUUGUAAGUCCUGUGUGAAAUCCCUCGGCUCAACUGAGGAACUGCACGGGAUACUGCGAGACUUGAGUUCGGGAGAGGGAAGCGGAAUUCCGGGUGUAGCGGUGAAAUGCGUAGAUAUCCGGAGGAACACCGGUGGCGAAGGCGGCAUCCUGGACCAAUACUGACACUGAGGAGCGAAAGCCAGGGGAGCAAACGGG